CCUUCCAUCUCAUUGUUUUAUUUAUUCACAUUCUUUGUUAUUAUAUUGGUUUUGCCUUUUCUGCCAAGUUACUGCCCUGUAAUCAACUUGAUCAUUUGAUCAACAUGACUGAUGAUCUGAUGAUUAGUGGAGGGAAGGGGAGGAGGGGAGAAGCAUAUUUGCUUAGAGGAAAAGACAAAAGAAACUCUGUAAUGCACGUAAUGCAGUUUGUUUCAUACAUAUAGGUUCGAUAGAUAACCAA
rnacentral:lncRNA from 1 species